GGUAACCUACCCAUAAGACUGGGAUAACUCCGGGAAACCGGGGCUAAUACCGGAUAAUAUUUUGAACUGCAUAGUUCGAAAUUGAAAGGCGGCUUCGGCUGUCACUUAUGGAUGGACCCGCGUCGCAUUAGCUAGUUGGUGAGGUAACGGCUCACCAAGGCAACGAUGCGUAGCCGACCUGAGAGGGUGAUCGGCCACACUGGGACUGAGACACGGCCCAGACUCCUACGGGAGGCAGCAGUAGGGAAUCUUCCGCAAUGGACGAAAGUCUGACGGAGCAACGCCGCGUGAGUGAUGAAGGCUUUCGGGUCGUAAAACUCUGUUGUUAGGGAAGAACAAGUGCUAGUUGAAUAAGCUGGCACCUUGACGGUACCUAACCAGAAAGCCACGGCUAACUACGUGCCAGCAGCCGCGGUAAUACGUAGGUGGCAAGCGUUAUCCGGAAUUAUUGGGCGUAAAGCGCGCGCAGGUGGUUUCUUAAGUCUGAUAAGUCUGAAUGUGAAAGCCCACGGCUCAACCGUGGGAGGGUCAUUGGAAACUGGGAGACUUGAGUGCAGAAGAGGAAAGUGGAAUUUCCAUGUGUAGCGGUGAAAUGCGUAGAGAUAUGGAGGAACACCAGUGGCGAAGGCGACUUUCUGGUCUGUAACUGACACUGAGGCGCGAAAGCGUGGGGAGCAAACAGGGAUUAGAUACCCUGGUAGUCCACGCCGUAAACGAUGAGUGCUAAGUGUUAGAGGGUUUCCGCCCUUUAGUGCUGAAGUUAACGCAUUAAGCACUCCGCCUGGGGAGUACGGCCGCAAGGCUGAAACUCAAAGGAAUUGACGGGGGCCCGCACAAGCGGUGGAGCAUGUGGUUUAAUUCGAAGCAACGCGAAGAACCUUACCAGGUCUUGACAUCCUCUGAAAACUCUAGAGAUAGAGCUUCUCCUUCGGGAGCAGAGUGACAGGUGGUGCAUGGUUGUCGUCAGCUCGUGUCGUGAGAUGUUGGGUUAAGUCCCGCAACGAGCGCAACCCUUGAUCUUAGUUGCCAUCAUUAAGUUGGGCACUCUAAGGUGACUGCCGGUGACAAACCGGAGGAAGGUGGGGAUGACGUCAAAUCAUCAUGCCCCUUAUGACCUGGGCUACACACGUGCUACAAUGGACGGUACAAAGAGCUGCAAGACCGCGAGGUGGAGCUAAUCUCAUAAAACCGUUCUCAGUUCGGAUUGUAGGCUGCAACUCGCCUACAUGAAGCUGGAAUCGCUAGUAAUCGCGGAUCAGCAU
rnacentral:rRNA from 2 species